rnacentral:misc_RNA from 1 species
CAUUCUCCCCUAGUUGGAGAAAAACUCAACAUCAAAUUUUGUAGUGAUAAAGAAUUAACUGAAUUUGGAGAACAGUUGGCUCUUAUCUUCUUCAAUAUUAGCAAUAAGAUAGAAACGAUGAACUUCAUUGUUUCCUUCAUAUCCAUGGAAACAUCUGAACAUGUAAAAUUAAUCACAACUAUAGCUGAAAGUCACUUCGAUUCAUUAAGAACAAGAGAAUUAGAUAAAUUUCAAUUUCCAUUAUCUUCUUCACGGCCUGCUCUUCUUCUUUCUCUAUCUUCUCUAUGGUCUGAUACCAAAUUAAUGUAGAACCACAAAGAACAGUGAGUCAGUGAUGCAGACAAGAAAACUAGAUUUAGAAAUUAU